GGACAAGAUCUACAAAUAAGAUAAAAUGAUUGUUUGUACAGGUCAGAGUUAUCUUUCUUUGCACUUGUGUUUAUAGUAUUUUAUGAUUGUGUUUUGUAUGGCCUUUAUAUGAGACAAAGUUAUUUUGAUGAUGUCACCUUAAACCUUUAAUAAAGAAUCUACAUAUCUUUACAACCGAGUGGUUGUUAUACUCAUGCCUAUUUCCACCCGGUUUCAUAUCAACAUCAUUGGAGCCUCUAGUUACUAUCGCCAUAUCAUUUUCAUGUUUCAGUGACAUCUUUUAUUUUUUGCAGGAACACUUGAAUCAUUAAGUAACAAUGAUAUAGGUUUCUAUUGUAAAGCCAAUCUGAAAUCAUGGCGUCUCUAUCUGAAGAAGAGGAGAAUUAUGUCCGGUUAGCCUUGUUAUUGAGAGGAGUGACACCUAGAGCAGUCCGUACUUAUUUUGACAGAGAAUUUCCACCUACCUCUCUACCCUCAACACUAAGUACAAGCCACAACACUCUUUUGGACUUGAAAAAAAAGAGAAUCAUAAACCAGGCUCAGUGGAAUCUUUUGACAAAUGG
rnacentral:lncRNA from 1 species